AUACGUAGGUGACAAGCGUUAUCCGGAUUUACUGGGCGUAAAGGGCGUGUAGGCGGUCUUGCAAGUCAGAAGUGAAAUUCCUGAGCUCAACUCGGGCGCUGCUUCUGAAACUGCAGGACUUGAGUGCUGGAGGGGAUAGCGGAAUUCCUAGUGUAGCGGUAAAAUGCGCAGAUAUUAGGAAGAACACCGGUGGCGAAGGCGGCGUUCUGGACAGUAACUGACACUGAGGCGCGAAAGCGUGGGGAGCAAACAGUAUUAGCUACCCUGGUAGUCCCCGCCGUAAACGAUGAAUACUAGGUGUAGGGGGUAUCGACUCCCUCUGUGCCGCAGUUAACACAAUAAGUAUUCCGCCUGGGGAGUACGGCCGCAAGGUUGAAACUCAAAUGAAUUGACGGGG
rnacentral:rRNA from 1 species